ensembl:lncRNA
AUUUUGACGAGGAAAAUGGAGGCCAGACUUGAGACACGAACAUCACGCUGGGCCCUCUCAGGCAUUGCCACAUGCACUAAUGAAAGCUCUUAACCACUGAUUUUAUGAAAAUAAACUCUUUAAUACUAUAAGGAGCACUUUUCUUCAGUUAAACAUAAAGUGCUGGCUAAGCGCGGCGAAGAGCGCGGCUGGGAGAGCACACUGGAUGUCAGUCCUGUCAAGCCUUCAUUUCACCUGUCAGCGCGGUGACUGACGUACAAGCACUUGUUUGCCCUUCCUGUGGUCUUCUCUUGCGUGUCCUGACAGGCGCAGGCCUCCGGAGCGGCGCACUUCGCCUCCUGCUACAAGGUCUCUCUCCUCCGGCUCUGCUGUCAGCCUUUGAUCAUGCCGAGACUCUCUGUUCUCCGCUCAGACGGACGACAGCAGCUCUCCCGCCCCACCGUGGAAUCCUUCCUGCCCCGGCCAGGUGACAGCAGAGCGUGGAAGAACCCGGUGAACCCGGAGUAAA